GUACUCACUUCAGCAGCACAUAUACUAAUAUUGGAACAAUACAGAGAUUAGCAUGGCCUGUGCAAGGAUGACAUGCAAAUUCAUGAAGUGUUCUAUAUUUUA
ensembl:snRNA U6 U6 spliceosomal RNA